rnacentral:rRNA from 1 species
GAUGAACGCUGGCGGCGUGCCUUAGACAUGCAAGUCGAACGAAGCACUUAGGACUGAUCUCUUCGGAGUGAUGACCUUUGUGACUGAGUGGCGAACGGGUGAGUAACACGUGGGUGACCUACCCCGAAGUGGGGCAUAACAGGGAGAAAUCCCUACUAAUUCCCCAUGUGCUCCCGCCUUUCUGGGGU